AGAGUUUGAUCAUGGCUCAGGACGAACGCUGACGGUGUGCUUUAGGCAUGCAAGUCGAACGAGAAAGCCCUUCGGGGUGAGUAAAGUGGCGAACGGGUGAGUAACACGUGGGCAACCUGCCCCUCGCAGGGGGACAACCGGAGGAAACUCCGGCUAAUACCCCGUACGCUUGUUGGAUCGCAUGGUCCGGCAAGGAAAGGUAGCUUCGGCCAUCCGGCGAGGGAUGGGCCCGCGUUGCAUUAGCUAGUUGGUGGGGUAACGGCCUACCAAGGCGACGAUGCGUAGCUGGUCUGAGAGGAUGAUCAGCCACACUGGGACUGAGACACGGCCCAGACUCCUACGGGAGGCAGCAGCCAGGAAUCUUGGGCAAUGGGCGAAAGCCUGACCCAGCAACACCGUGUGGGCGAUGAAGGCCUUAGGGUCGUAAAGCCCUGUUGAUAGGGACGAAGGGCGAAGGGUUAAUAGCCCCUAGCUUGACGGUACCUUUCGAGGAAGCCCCGGCUAACUACGUGCCAGCAGCCGCGGUAAUACGUAGGGGGCGAGCGUUGUCCGGAAUUAUUGGGCGUAAAGAGCGUGUAGGCGGUUCGGUAAGUCUGCUGUGAAAUCCUGGGGCUCAACCCUGGGCGUGCAGCGGAUACUGCCGGGCUAGAGGGUGGUAGAGGCGAGUGGAAUUCCGAGUGUAGCGGUGAAAUGCGCAGAUAUUCGGAGGAACACCAGUAGCGAAGGCGGCUCGCUGGGCCACACCUGACGCUGAGACGCGAAAGCGUGGGGAGCGAACAGGAUUAGAUACCCUAGUAGUCC
rnacentral:rRNA from 1 species